CGAGGCGUGGCCGGCGGGGCGGUGGAGGAGUAGGCAGGGUGUGAUGCCCGCGGUUUCGGUUGGCUUAGUCUCCUGCGCGGUCCCACGAGAGGCUCUGGGAAGGGGAGGGGAAGGCACGUAACCUGCUGCGCUAACGAUCACCCGUCCCUCACUACCUCGGCCCUGACCUCCCUCCCGGUCUCUCGCCAGCGCCACUGGGUGGGGCCUGUCGGGGGCCGCCUGGCCCACCUUCAGUAGUCAAGCCGGGAGUGGAUACGUGCUCAUCCCCGGGGAAGCCCAGAGGACGGGACGAGCCACGGGCAGAAGAGGUUUCUGCAGAAGCUCGGACACCCGAGCCUCUGCCGAAAUAUUGAACCCAACCAGUCACAUCAAGCAUUUAUUAAGCACCUACUGUGUUAGGCAGAGAGCACCGUAGAACUGAAGGUGAAAAGAAACUUAGAUCUCAAAUCAGUAAGCAGGAAGUACCAAGUGACCACUUCAAACAAUUGCAGAUUCCUGAAGGACAAGGACGGCAAGCAUCUUGCUCUCAGUUGUUUCCCCACAACCUAAGAUAAAAAAUACCACGUAAUUGAAGAAGUGUGAAAUACAGCAUUUGUAUGGCAGAAGAAGGCUGUAUGUGUGUCAAAGGUCUGCAAGCAUUCUACGUAGCUUUGCCCCAUCCUUCCAGUUUGUAGUUACCCUCAGUACAACUAUUGAGUAUCUUGUCAACAUCCAAUCUCUAUAUAUGCUCAUCCUCGUGGAACUAAGUUGCAGUGAGUAUUACUACAUCUUAAAGAAGGAUCCAGUUAUUUGCAACUGAUUAAAUGAGAUAACCUAAGUACAAAAUGUAAAGAACAAAUGUGUGGGGUUACUUUUGUUGUAAAUGAAGAAAUCCAACACAGCUGGAUUUUUAUCUCAAUACAAUGAAAUUUGAUAUUUUAAAUGAACUUAAGUUGAAGAUGUGUCCACCUGCCUCUACACACACACACACACACACACACACACACACACACACACAGAGUCCUCAUUCACAUGGUAAUUUUUAUUAAGAUAAAAAAUAUUUAAUAUCUGAUGGGAAAUGCUGGAGACGAGAAUAUAGCAUAUACAAGAAAAAAAUUAACUUCAGCAAAUAUUUAUCAGGUAUCUGUUAUGUGCCUAUCAUAAAAGCAUUGGUUUUUCAUGGUGGAAAGUCCUCAUUCCAUGGCCAAAAUCACUCAAGAAAAUAAAACGUACAAAUAGGUUUUUUAGUUUAAAGGUAAUGACAUUGGGAGAGAAGCUGGCUCUGGUUGAGAGAAAAACAUUUGGAGAAAACAAAUUAUAUUUCUCAUCGUUCUCCAGGCAUCUGAUAAUUAAUAUUAUAUUUCUUGUCUGUACAUUUAAAAGCAUAAAGAAUUACUGGAUAAUUUAUCAUUGGAUAGUUAAUCCAAUGAUUGUUCAAAUACUACUUGGAAAAUUAUGCAGUGCAAUGAGCACUCCCAUAAAGGCAUUUAAAUGGUAUCUGAGAUCUCCAUAUUUUGGAAAAAACUAAACAGGGGCCAAUGUCUAAACCCUGGAAGAACAAUGGACAAAUUAUUCAAAGUUCUAUUGUGAGAGGGAUAACUUGGUAGUCAGAUGUCAACAAUAGGGCCUUAUGCCUUGAUUAUAAUUGUCUGUGUGUGACAAUAUUGACUGAGCCAGGCGGCUGCUAGGCAGGAUAAGUGUAUGAAGGUAAAAUACUCUUAGAAAAUUUCAACCUUAUUAGCAUAAUUGCUCUGAUGAAGACUGAAGAGCUUAUUUAACAUAACUGACUAGAGUAGACAAUAGAUGCAUAAUCAGUGUCCUAAUGAUUGAAUUAAUGAGCCCCAAUUGUUUGUCCUUACUGUAAGGAGUCCUCAGCUAUGAAAAAGACAUUUUGCUGAAAGAGUCUGACAAUUGUGUUAGCUGAUGAGUGGCCAGAAUGUAAUUAAUGAUGGGAGAGAGACAAUUACUACUGGGUUCUAAAGACUGCAAUUGUGAGUUUCAAGGGGUGAAUUACAUAGCUACAUAGAAGUUUCAUAUCAGCUCCUCCUUGCCUUCAUACAGUAAUGGAGCCUGAUCAAUGCUCUUAUUUUGCAGCUAAAGAAACCGAGGCCCAGGCUUUUCCAGAGACCCAUGACCACUUUGUGUCAGGGGUUAUACACAUAGUGUCUUACCUUUCCUGCUUUGAUACUGCCCACUGACUCUUUGACCUGUCCCUGAUCUACAGCCUCACCUAUGCCUUUGCUACUCUCUUCAAUCUCCCUUUUACCUUCUAUGCAUAUGUCCAGACCAACUAUUUCACAGCUAAAAUGGGGCAAAUUUCCUCUCUCCACCUAAACCCCAACACUAGACAAAUAUGUCUAUCUCCACAUCUAUUCUCCCAGGCACCUCCUGUGGAAGACCUGCUCCUCCUUCUGGAAGAGGCUUUUUCGUCUACCUAUUCUCUGUUCCCUUGACCACCCAGUCUAGAUUAGAACCGCCCGCUCCACACACGCAUUCCAGUCACACUAUCAUAUCACCUUUUAAAAGUUUUCUUUAAAACUCUUUAUCAUUAUCUAGAAUUAUCAUGUCCACUAUUUCUGUACUGUGACUUAUUAUUUGUCACUUCUCCCUGCUGAAUGUAAGCUCUUUAAGAGCAGGAAACAUGUCUGUUUUGUUCACCAGAAUAUUCCUACUGAAGCAUGUCUAUUUUGUCCACCAUAUUAUCCCUACUUCAAGCAUACCUGGAGGCACUCAAUACAUAUUUUUGAAUGGAUCGAUGAUUUUCCCUCAAGCUCAAAGCAUGUGAAAAAUAAACUCAUCAUCUUCUGUUUUCCUUUCUGGGUGUGUUUUAGCCCAGUUCCCUAGAAAACAGACCCUGAUGCAAGGAUGCUGAUCCUUUCUUUAGGAGAUAUUAUCCCAGGGCAGGAACAGGGAAAAGGCAAGGAAGAAUGGAGAGCUAUGCACAGGGAUGCAUUACUGUGCUGAACACUGCUUCAUGGAAAGACUUGAGGAGAUACAGCCAAUCUCUUGACAGGUGCAACCACUUGGCCAGACAGACAAUAUGGAGGACUCAUGCCUUGGAACAAUUCAAGGAAGAGAGGAAUUUUAUCUUUGUCUCCUGUCUCUUUGUCAUUGGUCAAGGCUUGUCCCACAGGGAGCUAACUUUCCCAUACUUCCCAGUUGUGUUAUCCAUAUUCUUUGAUAGUCACUCAGAAAGCAGGUCCCUGCCCUGGAGUUCAGAAGUGGUGGGAAGAGACUGUUGGUAUGUGGCUGGUCAUCCUUGGGCUGUCAAACCACAAGGGACUUAACUAAGUCGCUCAUGGUGGCAGCUGAGACAGGAGCAAGAGGCCCAAAAAGCCUGAGAAGACACAUAAACGGGGCCUAAUGUAGAGUACUUGUUACCACAACAAUGGUAGGAACAGGUCUGUUUGAUUCGCUGCAUUGUAUCAGCACCUCCCACAAUAAGUGAUGAUUUGUUGAAGGAAUGCAUGCAUAAAUGGCAUCACCAUCUCUUGAUUUAUUUAAGCCAAAAUCUUGGAGUCAUCCGUGAUCUUCCUUCUUAAUUCCUAUAUUGAGGACAAAAAUUCCUCUACCUCCUUAAUAUAUCUCAGAUCUAAUGCCUCUUGUUCAAGCUCACUGCCUUGAUUCAGAACUUUAGCAUCUUUCAUUGUAAUGCUUGCUAUAGCUCCUUAAUUGGUCUUUCCGUCUCUGAUAUUCCUCUCCUCCAAUUCUUUCUCUUUCCUGGCAGAAUUUUCUAAAAAUUAUAGUGUGUUUUCUUUUCUUUUUUUUUUUUUUUUUUUUUGUGGUAUGCGGGCCUCUCACUAUUGUGGCCUCUCCUGUUGCUCCGGACGCGCAGGCUCAGCGGCCAUGGCUCACGGGCCCAGCCGCUCCACGGCAUGUGGGAUCUUCGCGGACCGGGGCACGAACCCGUGUCCCCUGCAUCGGCAGGCGGACUCUCAA